GACGUAGGGCGCGAGCGUUGUCCGGAUUUAUUGGGCGUAAAGAGCUCGUAGGCGGCUUGGUAUGUCGGGUGUGAAAUCCCCGGGCUCAACCUGGGAACUGCAUCCGAAACUGCCUUGCUCGAGUAUGGGAGAGGGAAGUGGAAUUUCCGGUGUAGCGGUGAAAUGCGUAGAUAUCGGAAGGAACAUCAGUGGCGAAGGCGACUUCCUGGACCAAUACUGACGCUCAGGUGCGAAAGCGUGGGGAGCAAACAGG
rnacentral:rRNA from 1 species